GACGAACGCUGGCGGCGCGCCUAACACAUGCAAGUCGAACGAGCGAGAGAGAGCUUGCUUUCUCGAGCGAGUGGCGAACGGGUGAGUAACGCGUGAGGAACCUGCCUCAAAGAGGGGGACAACAGUUGGAAACGACUGCUAAUACCGCAUAAGCCCACGACCCGGCAUCGGGUAGAGGGAAAAGGAGCAAUCCGCUUUGAGAUGGCCUCGCGUCCGAUUAGCUAGUUGGUGAGGUAACGGCCCACCAAGGCGACGAUCGGUAGCCGGACUGAGAGGUUGAACGGCCACAUUGGGACUGAGACACGGCCCAGACUCCUACGGGAGGCAGCAGUGGGGUAUAUUGCACAAUGGGGGAAACCCUGAUGCAGCGACGCCGCGUGGAGGAAGAAGGUCUUCGGAUUGUAAACUCCUGUUGUUGAGGAAGAUAAUGACGGUACUCAACAAGGAAGAGACGGCUAACUACGUG
rnacentral:rRNA from 1 species